rnacentral:lncRNA from 1 species
AUGAGUUUUUUUAAGGAUAGAAUAGGAGUGGAUUUAUCAGGCUAUCGAUCAAUGUCCAAUUCAAUGAAGUAUUUGAAAAUGAUUUGUGGUGAGAGUGAAAGAGAUAUCUUUUCACUAUCAUAGAAUUUGAAGAAAGGCUUCUUCAACCUUUUAUCGGAGGUUGUACAUUCCCCUUUAAUAACAGCCAUUAGCUCCAUGAUUAUUCUCUUAAUUAUUUUCCUAGACAGAUUCUUUGAUUUGAGAAGACAUCUUUUGAUGGAUGCGAUGUAUUGAAUUUUUCCUUUUCGGUUAUCCUCUUAUUCGUCGAUGUUAUUUUUUGAUGGAUGCAAUAUAUUGAAUUUUGUUUAUCGCCUCAAUGGUCUUCUUGGGGGAUUAUUUUCCUCUACGAUGGGAUCGUUUUAUCCUUGGCGAUCAU